UACGUAGGUGGCAAGCGUUGUCCGGAUUUAUUGGGCGUAAAGGUGGUGCAGGCGGUGACUUAAGUCUGAUGUGAAAGCCCACGGCUCAACCGUGGAAGGUCAUUGGAAACUGGGUCACUUGAAUAUAGAAGAGGAAAGUGGAAUUCCAUGUGUAGCGGUGAAAUGCGUAGAUAUAUGGAGGAACACCAGUGGCGAAGGCGACUUUCUGGUCUAUAACUGACACUGAGGCGCGAAAGCGUGGGGAGGCAAACAGGAUUAGAUACCCU
rnacentral:rRNA from 1 species